UCUGCGAGCUGGCCAGACGCAACCCUAAGAACUACCUGUCCCUGGCCCCGCUCUUUUUCAAGCUGAUGACGUCCUCCACCAACAACUGGGUCCUCAUCAAGAUCAUCAAGCUGUUCGGUGCUCUUACUCCUUUGGAACCGCGGCUGGGCAAGAAGCUGAUCGAGCCCCUCACCAAUCUCAUCCACAGUGCUCAUCUCGCUGUCCUCCGGCAUGCCCAACCACAGCGCCAGCAUCCAGCUUUGUGUUCAGAAAUUAAGGAUAUUGAUCGAGGACUCCGAUCAGAACUUGAAGUACCUGGGGCUGCUGGCAAUGUCCAAGAUCCUGAAGACCCACCCCAAGUCCGUGCAGUCCCACAAGGACCUCAUCCUGCAGUGCCUGGACGACAAGGACGAGUCCAUCCGGCUGCGGGCCCUGGACCUGCUCUAUGGGAUGGUGUCCAAGAAGAACCUGAUGGAGAUCGUGAAGAAGCUGAUGACCCACGUAGACAAGGCAGAGGGUACCACCUACCGUGACGAGCUGCUCACCAAGAUCAUUGACAUCUGCAGCCAGUCCAACUACCAGUACAUCACCAACUUCGAGUGGUACAUCAGCAUCCUGGUGGAGCUGACCCGGCUGGAGGGCACAC
rnacentral:lncRNA from 1 species